rnacentral:rRNA from 1 species
UACGUAGGGUGCAAGCGUUGUCCGGAAUUAUUGGGCGUAAAGAGCUCGUAGGCGGUCAGUCGCGUCUGCUGUGAAAACUCGGGGCUUAACUCCGGGCCUGCAGUGGGUACGGGCUGACUAGAGUGCGGUAGGGGAGACUGGAAUUCCUGGUGUAGCGGUGAAAUGCGCAGAUAUCAGGAGGAACACCGGUGGCGAAGGCGGGUCUCUGGGCCGUAACUGACGCUGAGGAGCGAAAGCGUGGGGAGCGAAUAGG